ensembl:lncRNA
CAAAGAGUUGGACACAACUGAGCGACUGAACUGAACUGAACUGAACUGAGCAGACAUCUAUUUGUGCCCUCAAGUGUAACCUGUCAGCUUACUGUUUACUACCUAGCCUCCCCGGGAGAUCCCCAGGGCAGGGCUGUGUCUGUCCUGUCCAACACUGAGUCCUAAGGGCCCAGUCCAGUGCUUGGGCCAUGGCAGAUGUUCAAUAGCUGUUUGGAAAACAGUGAGUGAAUAAAUGAAUGGACACAGACACCCUUCCACCCCCUCUGCCUGCUCACUCUGCCUCUGCGCCCCAGAGAAGCACAGGGGUGCUCCCUGAAUGUCCUGGUGCUCCGGAUAUCCCAACACAGAGAGCUGAGAGACCGAGGGGUGGCAGGCGGAUCCUGAGGCCUUGAGAUGGGGAUAGACAGAAGAGGCAAGCCCCGGAGGCAGGGAGGAGAGGGGAAGAGGAGGAAAAGUGGAAAGAGAAAGGAAAUGGAGCCAGAGGAAGGAGAAAGGAGGCACACAAAGAGGGGCGAACGAGUUGGUUGGGCUUGGGGAUAAUCCUGUUUCUCCUCUUUAUUUGUGAAACUAAUAAUUACUAUUAAUACCUGGCCCCUCCCUGGCCUUUUCAUCCAGGCUGGUGGGGAAUUUUCAAAGAUGAAAGUCCGGGGAGAGGGGGGUGGUGCUCUCAGAGGCAGGUCCCAGGGCUUCACAAGCACUAAUUAAACUUGGCAGCCCCUUCCAGGUGGGAGCACUCCCUGGGCCUGGCCCGCCUCCCCUCCUUUGCGGGAGGCUCACUAACUGCAGCAGGGGGGUGGGGCGGUCAGCAGAGACAGCCGUGGGGGAGGUGCCAGAAAGAGGAACCUCACACCAGGUGGCACCGAAACCCAGGAGCCCAGCCCCCAACUGAAAUUACAGCCCCGUGCCAGAGGCUGCCCUCCCCCCUAGCUCCGGACCAGGGUCUGUGUCCCUGGGGCCAUCUGCCAGAUGGUGGUGGGGGAAGCACUCCUGCGAAGGAAGGUCUCAGCAGAACCAGAGGGCAGGGACAUAGUCUGAGGUUUUCAGGACAACUUAGCACCCCGGGCCCUAGGACAGAGUGGAGAGGGCAAUGCCAGGGGAAGAGCUCUGGUAUGUUUAAUUUUUAAAUUUGUGUGAAUGCACUUAAUAUUCAAAAUAAUAAAUGAAAUAUUAAAUACCUGUGAAAAAAUGUUGUAGAUCUCUAUUAGUUGUUUUGGGAGGAUGUCCACAAUGUUGAGUGAGAAAAAAAAGUCACCACGUGGCAUACAGAACACAAUUUCAUUUACAUAGACUGAAUAUUAUAGGUAUACAUACAAGUAAACAAAAUUAUUUCUGGAAUGAUGCUCCAAUCUGAUAAUAGUGGUAUCUCAAGAAGAAAGAAUUUAGAGAUGAUUUUUACUUUUUGCUAUUUAUUUUCUGUAGUGUGAGGAUUGUUUAUAAUGAGCAUACUUUUUUAAUACCAUCAGGGGAAAAUGUUGUAAAGUUAUUUUCUUUUAAAAAAGAAGUGCCUUCAUACACACUACUAUAUAUAAAAUAGAUAACUAAUAAGGACCUACUGUCUGGCACAGUGGAGUCUACUCAAUACUCUGCAAUGGGCUAUAUGGGAAAAGAAUCUAAAAAAGAGUGGAUAUCUGUAUUUGUAUAACAGAUUCAGUUUGCUGUACACCUGAAGCUAACACAACAUUGUGUUAAUCAAUUAUACCCCAAUUAAAAAAUAAAAAAAUGUGCCUCUUCUGUAUGCUUUGGAUUGGCCAAAACAUUUGUUCAGGUUUUUCCACAUCUUGCUGAAAAACCUGAACUAAUGUUUUGGCCAACCUGUGUGCAGAGAUGGUGUUUGGAAAGAACACACACCAAGGUAUUAAUAGUGGUGGGUAAGACUCGUUUCUUUUUUCUUCUUGUUCUCCACUCUGAAUAUUUCUAUUCUAUGGGUUUUCUUUAAUUAAUUACUUUUCAUAAAGGG